GGGCUUUGUUGCUCGUUGGGAAUACAGUGGGUGGGAUGUGACGGUUCGCCCCCUAAUCCACCUCCACAGGAGACGCCAACCAACGAGCUGAGCGUCCAGGCCCCCCCCGAGGGGGACACGGACCCGUCAACGCCCCCAGCGCCCCCGACGCCUCCCCACCCCGCCACCCCCGGAGAUGGGUUUCCCAGCAACGACAGCGGCUUUGGAGGCAGUUUCGAAUGGGCGGAGGAUUUCCCCCUCCUCCCCCCGCCAGGCCCCCCCCUGUGCUUCUCCCGCUUCUCCGUCUCGCCUGCGCUGGAGACCCCGGGGCCCCCCGCCCGGGCCCCCGACGCCCGACCCGCAGGCCCCGUGGAGAACUGACUCCCAGACGACCCCACCCCCCUGCACCCCCAGAAGAGGGGUUGAGAGUAGAAUCCUCUGUGGACGACGGAGCCACUGCCACCACCACAGACACCGCCUCUGGGGAGGCUCCUGAGGCUGGGCCCUCCCCCUCCCCCACCAUGUGCCAAACGGGAGGCCCUG